CAAUACUUUGGUGGCGACCGGCGCACGGGUGAGUAACACGUAUCCAACCUGCCGAUGACUCGGGGAUAGCCUUUCGAAAGAAAGAUUAAUACCCGAUGGCAUAGUUCUUCCGCAUGGUGGAACUAUUAAAGAAUUUCGGUCAUCGAUGGGGAUGCGUUCCAUUAGGUUGUUGGCGGGGUAACGGCCCACCAAGCCUUCGAUGGAUAGGGGUUCUGAGAGGAAGGUCCCCCACAUUGGAACUGAGACACGGUCCAAACUCCUACGGGAGGCAGCAUG
rnacentral:rRNA from 1 species